rnacentral:rRNA from 1 species
AGAUUGAACGCUGGCGGCAUGCCUUACACAUGCAAGUCGAACGGCAGCACGGGAGCAAUCCUGGUGGCGAGUGGCGAACGGGUGAGUAAUACAUCGGAACGUGCCCAAUCGUGGGGGAUAACGCAGCGAAAGCUGUGCUAAUACCGCAUAAGAUCUACGGAUGAAAGCAGGGGAUCGCAAGACCUUGCGCGAAUGGAGCGGCCGAUGGCAGAUUAGGUAGUUGGUGAGGUAAAGGCUCACCAAGCCUUCGAUCUGUAGCUGGUCUGAGAGGACGACCAGCCACACUGGGACUGAGACACGGCCCAGACUCCUACGGGAGGCAGCAGUGGGGAAUUUUGGACAAGUGGGACGAAAGCCUAGAUCCAG